GACGAACGCUGGCGGCGUGCUUAACACAUGCAAGUCGAACGGUAAGGCCCUUCGGGGUCCACGAGUGGCGAACGGGUGAGUAACGCGUGAGUAACCUGCCCUUCACUCUGGGAUAACAGUUGGAAACCGCUGCUAAUACCGGAUAUUCAGCUCCUGUCGCAUGGUGGGGGUUGGAAAGUUUUGGUGGUGGAGGAUGGGCUCGCGUCCUAUCAGCUUGUUGGUGGGGUGAUGGCCUACCAAGGCGUCGACGGGUAGCCGGCCUGAGAGGGCGACCGGCCACAUUGGGACUGAGAUACGGCCCAAACUCCUACGGGAGGCAGCAGUGGGGAAUAUUGCACAAUGGGCGGAAGCCUGAUGCAGCAACGCCGCGUGCGGGAUGACGGCCUUCGGGUUGUAAACCGCUUUCAGCAGGGACGAAGCGCAAGUGACGGUACCUGCAGAAGAAGCACCGGCUAACUACGUG
rnacentral:rRNA from 1 species